GCAUGGUAGUAUUUUCGUUUGUAUUUGACAAAUAUUAUUUAAUUAUAGACUAACUAGGUUUAAAAUAUUCGUCUCGUAAAUUAUAAGUAAAUUAUGUAAUUAGUUAUUAUUUUUAUCUAUAUUAAUACUUUAUACAUGCACCUCAAGAUUCGGGCCUUGUUUAGUUCACCCAAAAACCAAACAAUGUUCCAGAUUCUCCGUCACAUCGAAUCUUAUAGAUGAAAAAUAAAAACUAAUUACACAGUUUGUCUGUAAAUCGCGAGACGAAACUUUUAAGUCUAAUUACUCCAUGAUUGGACAAUGUUUAUCAAAUAAAAACGAAAGUGGUACAAUAUCAAAAUUCAAAAACUUUUUGGAUCUAAACAGGACCUUGAUGUGACGGAGAAUCUAAAAUUUUUUGCAAUUUUUUUGAAACUAAGGCCUUGUGUAGUUCGCCUAAAAAACAAAAAAAAUCAAAAUUUCUCGUCACAUUGAAUCUUGCGGCACAUGCAUGAGCAUUAAAUAUAGAUAAAAAACUAAUUAUACAGUUUGUCUGUAAAUUGUAAGAUCAAUCUUUUAAACUUACUUAAUCUAUGAUUAAAUAAUAUUUACUAAAUAAAAAUAAAAGUACUAUAAUACACGAAAACAAAAAAAAUUUAGAACUGAACAAGGCCUGAUCAAGGCCUACAUGUUGGAAGAGUAUGGCACGACCAUAUCUGAGAAAGGCGGACGACGAUACAUGUGCAUCCGUGUGUGUUCCAUUGGUUUGGGAAAGGCGGCACUGCAUUAUUAUUAAUAAUUGUCACCAAAAGCUUUCGUAUCUUGCAAGAAUGGGCCAUGAUCUAUGUUCGUGUACACAUGCAUAUCAGUUUCUUCCACCACAAGUUUGCACCACGAGGCCAUGUUAAGCCUGGUUUGUAGCACUUUCGUUUGUUUGUGGCAAAUAUUGUCCAAUUAUAAACUAACUAGGGUCAAAAGAUUCGUCUCGUGAUUUACAGACAAACUGUGUAAUUAGUGUUUGUUUUUGUCUAUAUUUAAUACUUCGUGCAUGUGCCGCAAGAUUCGAUGUGAUGGGGAAUCUUGAAAAAUUUUGAAAACUAAACAAGGCCCU
rnacentral:lncRNA from 1 species